rnacentral:rRNA from 1 species
AUUGAACGCUGGCGGCAUGCCUUACACAUGCAAGUCGAACGGCAGCACGGGAGCAAUCCUGGUGGCGAGUGGCGAACGGGUGAGUAAUGUAUCGGAACGUGCCCAGUCGUGGGGGAUAACGUAGCGAAAGCUACGCUAAUACCGCAUACGAUCUAUGGAUGAAAGCGGGGGAUCGCAAGACCUCGCGCGAUUGGAGCGGCCGAUAUCAGAUUAGGUAGUUGGUGGGGUAAAGGCCCACCAAGCCUGCGAUCUGUAGCUGGUCUGAGAGGACGACCAGCCACACUGGAACUGAGACACGGUCCAGACUCCUACGGGAGGCAGCAGUGGGGAAGUUUGGACAAUGGGCGCAAGCCUGAUCCAGCAAUGCCGCGUGCAGGAUGAAGGCCUUCGGGUUGUAAACUGCUUUUGUACGGAACGAAACGGCUUUUUCUAAUACAGAGAGCUAAUGACGGUACCGUAAGAAUAAGCACCGGCUAACUACGUGCCAGCAGCCGCAGUAACAC